rnacentral:rRNA from 1 species
UUCCCUUCGGGGCUUUCUGCAAGGUGCUGCAUGGUUGUCGUCAGCUCGUGCCGUGAGGUGUCGGGUUAAGUCCCAUAACGAGCGCAACCCUUGUCCUUAGUUACCAGCACGUUAUGGUGGGCACUCUAAGGAGACUGCCGGUGACAAACCGGAGGAAGGUGGGGAUGACGUCAAGUCAUCAUGGCCCUUACGGCCUGGGCUACACACGUGCUACAAUGGUCGGUACAAAGGGUUGCCAAGCCGCGAGGUGGAGCUAAUCCCAUAAAACCGACCGUAGUCCGGAUCGCAGUCUGCAACUCGACUGCGUGAAGUCGGAAUCGCUAGUAAUCGUGAAUCAGAAUGUCACGGUGAAUACGUUCCCGGGCCUU